UCUAAUAUUUUCUUAUGUGCCUCAAGGACAUGUAGACUUGAUUUCCACUUCAGGUUAAGUUUAACAAGUUGAUCCACAACCAAAUUCUAUUUUUUGACAUGUAUUUGAUAUUCCACUACCCUUCAGUCCUCAUAACACGUUGGGUCCUUCUGAGCACAGUAAUAUCUAGAUCUUCUAAUCUCCAAUUAUUCAAGGCUUGAAUUACCUUAAGAUUAUUAGUCUGAAUUAUGCUUGAUGACCAUCCC
rnacentral:lncRNA from 1 species